UACGGGGGGGGCAAGCGUUGCUCGGAAUUACUGGGCGUAAAGGGCGCGUAGGCGGGAUGGCAAGUCGGUCGUGAAAUCCCUCGGCUCAACCGAGGAACGUCGAUCGAUACUGCUGUUCUUGAGGAUUGCAGAGGAGACUGGAAUUCCCGGUGUAGCGGUGAAAUGUGUAGAGAUCGGGAGGAACACCGGUGGCGAAGGCGGCGACCUGGUCCUUUUACUGACGCUGAGGCGCGAAAGCGUGGGGAGCAAACAGG
rnacentral:rRNA from 1 species